rnacentral:lncRNA from 1 species
GUCCAUACAUCACAAGAGCUCCAGGACUUUCUUUCUCCUUUCUCAACAGUUUUAAAUAUUUUCAGAGAAUUUGAGAGCACUUACAGAAAGCCAGAUCUAGUAUCCACUCUUUUCUCCCUAUACAAAUUAGCUUAUGUUUGAUUUGGGCACCCAGGAGGCAAAAGCAGGCAGAUCUUUGUGAGUUCCAGGCCAGCCAGAGAGCUACAUAGUAUGACCCUGUCUAAAAAAACAAGAAGGGCAGAUAGCCUUUUGGUUUUUCUAUAAUCAGCUAAUUAACUGCAGAAACCACGUUUUGGAGUUCAAGGAAACUAUGCUACGUUUAAAAAACAAAAGUGAAAAUAAUCACCAAAAUCUAGUGAAAGUCCUCCAUCAACUGAAGCAUAAAGUGGCCCCAGCGAAGCCGUCAGGAAGCAUCCUUGAGAAGAAAGUGAACAUGUUGGAUCAGGAUGAAACAGUUUUUAACCAAUUUGAAGUCUUAAAGUUCUUCCUUCCUCACCUAAGGACAGCAGGGAACAUUUACCCGGAUAUAGCCAUUGGCAGACAGAGAGCAGGCGUCUCUUUUGCACUGGGAAUCACCACCAUUGACAGAGGGAAUCACACCUACCUGAAGCAAACGCUGACUUCUGUUC